AAUCAACGCUGGCGGCGUGCCUAACACAUGCAAGUCGAACGCGAAAGUCCCGCAAGGGAUUAGUAGAGUGGCAAACGGGUGAGUAACACGUGGGUGACCUGCCUUCGAGCGGGGGAUAACGUUCCGAAGGAACGCUAAUACCGCAUAACAUCCUGCCUUUUAAGAGGCGGUGAUCAAAGCCGGGGAUUCGCAAGAACCUGGCACUUGAAGAGGGGCCCGCGCCUGAUUAGCUAGUUGGGGGGUAAUGGCCUACCAAGGCAACGAUCAGUAUCCGGCCUGAGAGGGCGGACGGACACACUGGGACUGAGACACGGCCCAGACUCCUACGGGAGGCAGCAGUGGGGAAUUGUUCGCAAUGGGCGCAAGCCUGACGACGCAACGCCGCGUGGAGGAUGAAGACCU
rnacentral:rRNA from 1 species